CUUUGAGUAAAAAUACGACCAAAGAGAUUACAUAUAAACUUUACGAAUAUUUCGAUCAAAAUGGUUGACAAUAUUUAUAAAGGAUUGUAUUUUAAAAUCUAAACAGUCAUAUGUAUUGCCUGCGUUUAAAAUUUUAUGCAUCUCAUAAAGGGGGCACUUUUACUGAUCCUUAAUGCUAUAACUCUGUGGACUCGCUGGCGCCAAGCUGGAGAUCUGACUCAAGCUGUAGCAGACUUGCUUUCUGCCCUUGGCGUACCAAUCAGAAAACAGAUGCUGGCUAA